AGCGAACGCUGGCGGCAGGCCUAACACAUGCAAGUCGAACGGACCCUUCGGGGUUAGUGGCGGACGGGUGAGUAACACGUGGGAACGUGCCCUUUGGUUCGGAACAACUCAGGGAAACUUGAGCUAAUACCGAAUGUGCCCUUCGGGGGAAAGAUUUAUCGCCAUUGGAGCGGCCCGCGUCUGAUUAGCUAGUUGGUGGGGUAAUGGCCUACCAAGGCGACGAUCAGUAGCUGGUCUGAGAGGAUGAUCAGCCACAUUGGGACUGAGACACGGCCCAAACUCCUACGGGAGGCAGCAGUGGGGAAUCUUGCGCAAUGGGCGAAAGCCUGACGCAGCCAUGCCGCGUGAAUGAUGAAGGUCUUAGGAUUGUAAAAUUCUUUCACCGGGGACGAUAAUGACGGUACCCGGAGAAGAAGCCCCGGCUAACUUCGUGCCAGCCGCCGCUGUAAGAC
rnacentral:rRNA from 1 species